rnacentral:rRNA from 1 species
CGCAACCCUUGUCCUUAGUUACCAGCACGUUAUGGUGGGCACUCUAAGGAGACUGCCGGUGGACAACCGGAGGAAGUGGGGAUGACGUCAAGUCAUCAUGGCCCUUACGGCCUGGGCUACACACGUGCUACAAUGGUCGGUACAAAGGGUUGCCAAGCCGCGAGGUGGAGCUAAUCCCAUAAAACCGAUCGUAGUCCGGAUCGCAGUCUGCAACUCGACUGCGUGAAGUCGGAAUCGCUAGUAAUCGUGAAUCAGAAUGUCACGGUGAAUACGUUCCCGGGCCUU